rnacentral:rRNA from 1 species
UACAGAGACUGCGAGCGUUUAUUCGGAUUCACUGGGCGUAAAGGGUGCGCAGGCGGCCGUGUGUGUGAGGCGUGAAAGCCCGGGGCUUAACCCCGGAAUUGCACCUCAAACUACAACGGCUAGAGCAUUGGAGAGGGUAGCGGAAUUCACGGUGUAGCAGUUGAAAUGCGUAGAUAUCGUGAGGAACACCAGAGGCGAAGGCGGCUACCUGGACAAUUGCUGACGCUCAGGCACGAAAGCGUGGGGAGCAAAAGGG